UACGGAGGGUGCGAGCGUUAUCCGGAUUCACUGGGUUUAAAGGGUGCGUAGGUGGGAAUGUAAGUCAGUGGUGAAAUCUCUGAGCUUAACUCAGAAACUGCCAUUGAUACUAUGUUUCUUGAAUUUUCUGGAGGUCAGCGGAAUUUCCGGUGUAGCGGUGAAAUGCGUAGAUAUCGGAAGGAACACCAGUGGCGAAAGCGGCUUCCUGGUCCAGCACCGACGUCAGGCACGAAAGCGUGGGGAGCAAACAGG
rnacentral:rRNA from 1 species